AGGUUGUAAAGUUCUUUUCUUACUGAGGAAUAAUGCUUUAAGGGAAUGUGAAGCAGAUGACGUUAAGUAAGGAAUAAGCCCCGGCUAAUUACGUGCCAGCAGCCGCGGUAACACGUAAGGGGCAAGCGUUGUUCGGAAUCAUUGGGCGUAAAGGGCGCGUAGGCGGUUUUGCAAGUCUGGUGUUAAACCCCUCGGCUUAACUGAGGAGGAGCGCUGGAAACGGUAAGACUUGAGUAGCGUAGGGGUACCUGGAAUUCCUAGUGUAGGGGUGAAAUCUGUAGAUAUUAGGAAGAACACCUGUGGCGAAGGCGAGGUACUGGGCGCAAACUGACGCUGAGGCGCGAAAGUGUGGGGAGCGAACAGGAUUAGAUACCCUGGUAGUCCACACCGUAAACGAUGUACACUAGGUGCUGGGAAGUAUUUCAGUGCCGACGCAAACGCUCCACGUGU
rnacentral:rRNA from 1 species